rnacentral:rRNA from 1 species
GAUGAACGCUGGCGGCGUGCCUAAUACAUGCAAGUCGAGCGAACAGACGAGGAGCUUGCUCCUUUGACGUUAGCGGCGGACGGGUGAGUAACACGUAGGUAACCUACCUAUAAGACUGGGAUAACUUCGGGAAACCGGAGCUAAUACCGGAUAAUAUUUCGAACCGCAUGGUUCUAUAGUGAAAGAUGGCUUUGCUAUCACUUAUAGAUGGACCUGCGCCGUAUUAGCUAGUUGGUAAGGUAACGGCUUACCAAGGCAACGAUACGUAGCCGACCUGAGAGGGUGAUCGGCCACACUGGAACUGAGACACGGUCCAGACUCCUACGGGAGGCAGCAGUAGGGAAUCUGCCGCAAUGGGCGAAAGCCUGACGGAGCAACGCCGCGUGAGUGAUGAAGGUCUUCGGAUCGUAAAACUCUGUUAUUAGGGAAGAACAGACGUGUAAGUAACUGUGCACGUCUUGACGGUACCUAAUCAGAAAGCCACGGCUAACUACGUG